ensembl:misc_RNA Metazoa_SRP Metazoan signal recognition particle RNA
GCCAGGCAUGGUGGCACAUGCCUAUAGUCCCAGCUACUCGGGAGGCUGAGGCUGGAGGAUCGCUUGAGCCCAGGAAUUCUGGGCUGCAGUGCACUAUGCCGAUCGGGCGUCUGCACUAAGUUCGGCAUCAAUAUGGUGACCUCCCAGGAGUGGGGGACCAUCAUGUUGCCUAAGGAGGGGUGAACCGGCCCAGGUCAGAAACGGAGCAGGUCAAAACUCCUGUCCUGAUCAGUAGUGGGAUCGCGCCCGUGAAUAGCCACUGCACUCCAGCCUGGGCAACACAGCAAGACCCAGUCUCUA